ensembl:lncRNA
CUUGUGUUCACAAACCAUCAUUGAUAGUUAGGGGUGCCACCGUUCCUAACGUGCUGAGCUUAGAGUCAGAAAGACCUGAAUUCAGAGGUGGCUUCAGACACGAACUGGGCAAGUCACAGAGGUUAGCUGUGUUUGCCUCAGUCCACUCAUCUGUAAAAUGGGGAUUCUAAUAGCUUCUAGCUGGCAGAUGUGUCGUGAGCACUAAAUGCAAUAAUGCUGUCACGGGCUUAGUGGAGUUGUUAUCUAAUUAUUACAAUUCUGUCUCUGUGGUCCUUUGGAGAAUUGUCCCAGGAGUUCCCGCUGGGCUGGGUUCCGGUUCCCAGCCUCUGUCCUCUUUCUGUUCUUGACCCUCAGGAUGCCUUAGGUUCUGGGCCAGGUGCAUAGAGAGGGAAGUGUCAGCAUGCAUUGAAAUCCAAGCCUCUUCUGCCCUUCCUGAAGCGGCGAGGGCCGAGGGAAGGGAAUGGAGCAUAGCCUGUGCUUUCUUUCUUCCUCUCCCAAGUUCUUGUUUGGGAGGCACGGCGGCUUCUGAGAGAAGCAGGAGAAAGGAUGCCUCGGGGAGCGCCGGCGCUGUAAAAUCCGAAUCGGUAGAAUGAAAGCAGGCAGCGUCCAGAGGUCUCUGGGAAAUGGUCAAUUGGGCCAGAAGGGUGCAAGCGGGGGUGAGACGACCUCUUGUCUGGGGCAUCCGCUGGACCUCCAGGCUCCCUCCUGGCUCUGGUGGGACUCCAGACACCCCCCUUGUGGCCGCCACCCCAAACUAUCCCAGGUGCCUCCUGAUGGUCUCAGUGCGGGUCUAACCAACAUUCAGAACAAUGACCGUCUAAUCUGGAAACGCUGCUGAGUCCCUUCCUGCUGGUGAAGGGCUCCGAGGGCUCGUGGAACAUCAAACUGGAUGCUUUGACAAGAACUAGAGACAUACUUUUAGCCUGGAGAGACAUAAAGAGCCCGAGGCCAGCCAGAGCUCUCGGUCCGGGUCCCCGACAUUGGCAGGUCUCACAGACCCAGAGGUGGCCUCUAUGAGGGCCUCCAGGACAAAUGCCAGUCAGAGGCCUCCGGCUCUUUCAGGAGGAGGGAGUUAAGUGGGCAGGAGAUUGGGUGAGAAAAGGGGCAUCACUUCCUACACAUAAGAUGAAGUCCUCCAGUGUGUGGGGCUCCUCCUCCCUUCUCAAUAGAAAGGAGCACCGUAGGUAGAAAGCCUUCCCAUGGCGGGAGGGACCCUGAAGUUGGAGAGCUGUGCCCUGGGGCAGGCCAGCUGGCUUAGGGACCAACCCAUGAGGUGCCCGGGGAAGUGGAGGCCUGGAGGCCUGCUCUUCUCUCAUCUGGAGGGGAUGGAGGGGAAGGGUACAGACAUUUACGGAGCUGUCCACUACCGGGAGGGAGGAGGACUCUGCAGAGCACCAGACCCUGUAAGCACUAGCAUCGCCAUGUAGGGAGAAACAUGGCAGGAGAUUCUGGGAAGUCUAAAGCGCCUGCCCCUUUCGGGAGGAGCGGUACUUCUCAAGAUGGGUCUUUCUUGUUCCUCAGGUGGGAUGCUACCAUCCAUUUUUCCAGGGAGGUCAUCGUGAGUGCCAUAGAAGAAGAUGCGGUGGGUUGAUAGUGUGGCCACAGGCAGAAGGAUGCCAUUAAAGGAAUGCUAAUGUCCUAGUCCUGCCUUGCUUACUUAGUCCCUUGGGGACCUUGGGGAGGUCAAGGAGUGACCCCAGAAUUCCACAGCAGGAAGGCACCUCAGAGGCAUUUGGUCCAUCCCACACAUGGACAGGAAUCUUUUCUGCCACAUCCCCCCGAGCGGGUGUGCAGCCUCUGUCAAAGGAGCUCUAGGGAGG